CAGCUGUAUAUGGAGCAGAGGAUGGCC
rnacentral:piRNA from 1 species